UACGGAGGAUGCAAGCGUUAUCCGGAAUUAUUGGGCGUAAAGCGUCCGUAGAUGGUUUUGCCAGUCGGCUGUCAAAGCACAGGGCUUAACCCUGUAAAGGCAGUGGAAACUACAAGACUAGAGUGCAGUAGGGGCAGAGGGAAUUCCCAGUGUAGCGGUGAAAUGCGUAGAGAUUGGGAAGAACAUCCGUGGCGAAAGCGCUCUGCUGGACUGCAACUGACAUUGAGGGACGAAAGCUAGGGGAGCGAAUGGG
rnacentral:rRNA from 1 species